rnacentral:rRNA from 1 species
UACAGAGGCCUCGAGCGUUAGGCGGAAUCACUGGGCUUAAAGCGUGUGUAGGUGGAUGCCUAAGUACCUUGUGAAAUCCCACGGCUUAACCGUGGAACUGCUGGGUAUACUGGGGUGUCUUGAGCCACUCAGGGGCUACCGGAACAAGCGGUGGAGCGGUGAAAUGCGUAGAUAUCGCUUGGAACGCCAAUGGUGAAAACAGGUAGCUGGGGGUGUGCUGACACUGAGACACGAAAGCCAGGGGAGCAAACGGG